AGAGUUUGAUCAUGGCUCAGAUUGAACGCUGGCGGCAUGCCUUACACAUGCAAGUCGAACGGCAGCACGGGUGCUUGCACCUGGUGGCGAGUGGCGAACGGGUGAGUAAUAUAUCGGAACGUACCCUAGAGUGGGGGAUAACGUAGCGAAAGUUACGCUAAUACCGCAUACGAUCUACGGAUGAAAGUGGGGGAUCGCAAGACCUCAUGCUCAUGGAGCGGCCGAUAUCUGAUUAGCUAGUUGGUGGGGUAAAAGCCUACCAAGGCGACGAUCAGUAGCUGGUCUGAGAGGACGACCAGCCACACUGGAACUGAGACACGGUCCAGACUCCUACGGGAGGCAGCAGUGGGGAAUUUUGGACAAUGGGGGCAACCCUGAUCCAGCAAUGCCGCGUGAGUGAAGAAGGCCUUCGGGUUGUAAAGCUCUUUUGUCAGGGAAGAAACGGGAUUUUCUAAUACAAAGUCCUAAUGACGGUACCUGAAGAAUAAGCACCGGCUAACUACGUGCCAGCAGCCGCGGUAAUACGUAGGGUGCAAGCGUUAAUCGGAAUUACUGGGCGUAAAGCGUGCGCAGGCGGUUGUGCAAGACAGAUGUGAAAUCCCCGGGCUCAACCUGGGAAUUGCAUUUGUGACUGCACGGCUAGAGUGUGUCAGAGGGGGGUAGAAUUCCACGUGUAGCAGUGAAAUGCGUAGAGAUGUGGAGGAAUACCGAUGGCGAAGGCAGCCCCCUGGGAUAACACUGACGCUCAUGCACGAAAGCGUGGGGAGCAAACAGGAUUAGAUACCCUGGUAGUCCACGCCCUAAACGAUGUCUACUAGUUGUCGGGUCUUAAUUGACUUGGUAACGCAGCUAACGCGUGAAGUAGACCGCCUGGGGAGUACGGUCGCAAGAUUAAAACUCAAAGGAAUUGACGGGGACCCGCACAAGCGGUGGAUGAUGUGGAUUAAUUCGAUGCAACGCGAAAAACCUUACCUACCCUUGACAUGUACGGAACUUACCAGAGAUGGUUUGGUGCUCGAAAGAGAACCGUAACACAGGUGCUGCAUGGCUGUCGUCAGCUCGUGUCGUGAGAUGUUGGGUUAAGUCCCGCAACGAGCGCAACCCUUGUCAUUAGUUGCUACGAAAGGGCACUCUAAUGAGACUGCCGGUGACAAACCGGAGGAAGGUGGGGAUGACGUCAAGUCCUCAUGGCCCCUAUGGGUAGGGCUUCACACGUCAUACAAUGGUACAUACAGAGGGCCGCCAACCCGCGAGGGGGAGCUAAUCCCAGAAAGUGUAUCGUAGUCCGGAUUGUAGUCUGCAACUCGACUACAUGAAGUUGGAAUCGCUAGUAAUCGCGGAUCAGCAUGUCGCGGUGAAUACGUUCCCGGGUCUUGUACACACCGCCCGUCACACCAUGGGAGCGGGUUUCACCAGAAGUAGGUAGCCUAACCGCAAGGAGGGCGCUUACCACGGUGGGAUUCGUGACUGGGGUGAAGUCGUAACAAGGUA
rnacentral:rRNA from 1 species